UCCGGUUUGUCACCGGCGGUCCCCUUAGAGUUCCCAACUUAAUGCUGGCCUUGACAUGCAAGUGGUAGAAGCCUGAAAGGGUGACGACCCCGCAAGGGGAGCUUGCACAGGUGCUGCAUGGCUGUCGUCAGCUCGUGUCGUGAGAUGUUGGGUUAAGUCCCGCAACGAGCGCAACCCUUGUGUCCUGUUGCCACCCCAACGAGAGUUGGGAGCACUCUGGACAGACUGCCUCGCUUAAACGGGGAGGAAGGUGGGGAUGACGUUUCCUCAUGCGUU
rnacentral:misc_RNA from 1 species